AGUGAACGCUGGCGGUAGGCCUAACACAUGCAAGUCGAACGGCAGCACAGUAAUAGCUUGCUCUUACGGGUGGCGAGUGGCGGACGGGUGAGGAAUACAUCGGAAUCUACUUUUUCGUGGGGGAUAACGUAGGGAAACUUACGCUAAUACCGCAUACGACCUACGGGUGAAAGCAGUGGAUCUUCUGACCUUGCGCGAUUGAAUGAGCCGAUGUCGGAUUAGCUAGUUGGCGGGGUAAAGGCCCAGCAAGGGGACGAUCCGUAGCUGGUCUGAGAGGAUGAUCAGCCACACUGGAGCUGAGACACGGUCCAGACUCCUACGGGAGGCAGCAGUGGGGAAUAUUGGACAAUGGGCGCAAGCCUGAUCCAGCCAUACCGCGUGGGUGAAGAAGGCCUUCGGGUUGUAAAGCCCUUUUGUUGGGAAAGAAAAGCAGCAGGUUAAUACCCCGCUGUUCUGACGGUACCCAAAGAAUAAGCACCGGCUAACUUCGUG
rnacentral:rRNA from 1 species